rnacentral:lncRNA from 1 species
AUGGACGCGGGCUCGCAGUGGCUGAGCGCCGCCGAGAUGUGCGAGAGCCUCCUGGAGCUGAAGUGGGCGGUGAUGGCGGUGCUGGAGGAGCAGCCUCGCGGCGCGGCGGCUGCACGCGGUGGCGGAGCAGCAGUGGAAGCUGCUGCAGGAUCUGCUGCCCGUGCUGCGCACCGCCAAGCUGGCCGCGUCCUUCCUGUGCGAGGAGCAGAACGGAUCCAUCUCGGCACUGCUGCCCUGCGUGCACGGCCUGGCGGCCGCCAUCAAACAGCAAGCGGAGGAGGCCGGAGCCGUCAUCCAGGAGGUGGUGGGGAACAUCCGAGCGGAGCUGGCACGGCGCUGGGGGGUGGCGGAGGACGAGGAGCUGCUGGAGAGCCCGGCCAUCAUUGCCACCUUCCUCGACCCGCGUUUCAAAGAGCUGAGGUUCCUCAGCCCCGAGCUGAGGAGCGCGCUGCACAGGAAGGUGAAGGACGUGCUGUCAAAUGCUGCGGGCCCUCAGCCCCCCCAGCCCGCGCACGGCCGGGUGCCGAGCUCAGAGCACACAGCAGCAAGUGGGGAAGCGGGUGCCAAAGAGCAGAGCGUGUACGACAUCCUGCUGGGGAAGGACCCGACCGAGAGCAUGCCCGAGAUCCAGCAGCAGCUGGAGAACUACAUGGUGGAGCCGCUCUGCAGGCGCAGCACCGACCCGCUGAGCUGGUGGAAGCAGAACGAGCAACGACUCCCCGCCUGCCGGUGCCGGGUGUUUUAGGCUGUGCCCGCCACCGCCGUGCCGCCCCGGCGCGCCUUCUUCGCCGGCAGCCAAAGCGCCUUGCAGCACCGGCGCGCCGCGCUGGAACCCGAGCAUCUCCAUCACAUCCUAUUCCUGCAUCACAACUCCCGUCUGGUGGAGACGAGGAGGGGGAAUCCGUGCUGAGCGCUGCCGUGGGCUCAGUCGGCGCUGCUCCCCUCCUUCACACCCACACGGCUGUGUCACCGCGGCAGAGCCCGGAGCGCACACCGGGAGGUGGGAAGUGGAGAUUUCUGGUACCACCGAGGCUCCGGCGCUGCUGGGGCUCCAAACGCCAGCGCUGCUCUGCUGUUCUGCAGCACCGAGGGCUCCUCCAGGGCUGGGAGCUGCUGGGGUUCCUCCAGAGCUUCUCCCAAAGCGCUGCUGGGGCUGUGCGGCUGUCUGGAGGGCUGCGCGCGGUGCUCUGCUCACAUCCAGGAGGCAGAUGA